rnacentral:rRNA from 1 species
AGUGAACGCUGGCGGUAGGCCUAACACAUGCAAGUCGAACGGCAGCACAGAGGAGCUUGCUCCUUGGGUGGCGAGUGGCGGACGGGUGAGGAAUACAUCGGAAUCUACUCUGUCGUGGGGGAUAACGUAGGGAAACUUACGCUAAUACCGCAUACGACCUACGGGUGAAAGCAGGGGAUCUUCGGACCUUGCGCGAUUGAAUGAGCCGAUGUCGGAUUAGCUAGUUGGCGGGGUAAAGGCCCACCAAGGCGACGAUCCGUAGCUGGUCUGCGAGGAUGGUCCGCCACACUGGAACUGGGACACGGUCCGGACUCCUACGGGAGGCAGCAGUGGGGAAGAUUGGACAAUGGGCGCAAGCCUGAUCCUGCCAUACCGCGUGGGUGAAGAAGGCCUUCGGGUUGUAAAGCCCUUUUGUUGGGAAAGAAAGCCAUCUGGUUAAUACCCGGGUGGGAUGACGGUACCCAAAGAAUAAGCACCGGCUAACUUCGUGCCAGCCGCCGCCGUAA